GGCGAACGGGUGAGUAACACGUGAGCAACCUGCCCCAGGCUUUGGGAUAACCCCGGGAAACCGGGGCUAAUACCGAAUAUGACCUCCGAUCGCAUGGUUGGUGGUGGAAAGUUUUUCGGCUUGGGAUGGGCUCGCGGCCUAUCAGCUUGUUGGUGGGGUGAUGGCCUACCAAGGCGACGACGGGUAGCCGGCCUGAGAGGGCGACCGGCCACACUGGGACUGAGACACGGCCCAGACUCCUACGGGAGGCAGCAGUGGGGAAUAUUGCACAAUGGGCGGAAGCCUGAUGCAGCGACGCCGCGUGAGGGAUGACGGCCUUCGGGUUGUAAACCUCUUUCAGCAGGGACGAAGCGUAAGUGACGGUACCUGCAGAAGAAGCGCCGGCCAACUACGUGCCAGCAGCCGCGGUAAGACGUAGGGCGCGAGCGUUGUCCGGAUUUAUUGGGCGUAAAGAGCUCGUAGGCGGCUUGUCGCGUCGACUGUGAAAACCCGCAGCUCAACUGCGGGCCUGCAGUCGAUACGGGCAGGCUAGAGUUCGGUAGGGGAGACUGGAAUUCCUGGUGUAGCGGUGAAAUGCGCAGAUAUCAGGAGGAACACCGGUGGCGAAGGCGGGUCUCUGGGCCGAUACUGACGCUGAGGAG
rnacentral:rRNA from 1 species